rnacentral:rRNA from 1 species
CCCGUGUGAACCUUGCCCUGUCGUCGUUGCUUCGGCGGGCUUCAAACGCCCGCCGGAGGUAUCAAACUCUUGAAUACCCAUGCGUCUCUGAGCAACAAAACAAAACAAUCAAAACUUUCAACAACGGAUCUCUUGGUUCUGGCAUCGAUGAAGAACGCAGCGAAAUGCGAUAAGUAAUGUGAAUUGCAGAAUUCAGUGAAUCAUCGAAUCUUUGAACGCACAUUGCGCCCGCCGGUAUUCCGGCGGGCAUGCCUGUCCGAGCGUCAUUUCAACCCUCAGGCCCCCCACGGCCUGGUGUUGGGGCGCCCGGGUACCCUCGCCGGUGCCCGGGGCCCCCAAGUCCAUCGGCGGUCUCGUAGGUACGCCGAGCGCAGUAAGACGCGGUAAAACGCGCCCCUCGCCCGGAACGUAGCGACGAGCGCCAGCCGCUAAACCCCCCAUAGCAAACGCAAGGUUGACCUCGGAUCAGGUAGGAAUACCCGCUGAACUUAAGCAUAUCAAUAAGCGGAGGAAAAGAAACCAACAGGGAUUGCCCCAGUAACGGCGAGUGAAGCGGCAACAGCUCAAAUUUGAAAUCUGGCCCCCAGGCCCGAGUUGUAAUUUGCAGAGGAUGCUUCCGGCGAGGCACCUACCGAGUCCCCUGGAAUGGGGCGCCACAGAGGGUGAGAGCCCCGUAUGGUAGGACGCCGAGCCGAUGUGAAGCUCCUUCGACGAGUCGAGUAGUUUGGGAAUGCUGCUCUAAAUGGGAGGUAAAUUUCUUCUAAAGCUAAAUACCGGCCAGAGACCGAUAGCGCACAAGUAGAGUGAUCGAAAGAUGAAAAGCACUUUGAAAAGAGGGUUAAAAAGUACGUGAAAUUGUUGAAAGGGAAGCGCUUGUGACCAGACUUGCGCCGGUCGGAUCAUCCAGCGUUCUCGCUGGUGCACUCCGGCCGGCUCAGGCCAGCAUCGGUUUUCGCCGGGGGACAAAGGCCUAGGGAACGUAGCUCACCUCGGUGAGUGUUAUAGCCCGUGGCGUAAUACCCCGGCGGGGACCGACGACCGCGCU